AUACGUAGGGGGCUAGCGUUAUCCGGAAUUACUGGGCGUAAAGGGUGCGUAGGUGGUUUCUUAAGUCAGAAGUGAAAGGCUACGGCUCAACCGUAGUAAGCUUUUGAAACUAAGAGACUUGAGUGCAGGAGAGGAGAGUAGAAUUCCUAGUGUAGCGGUGAAAUGCGUAGAUAUUAGGAGGAAUACCAGUUGCGAAGGCGGCUCUCUGGACUGUAACUGACACUGAGGCACGAAAGCGUGGGGAGCAAACAGGAUUAGAUACCCUGGUAGUCCACGCCGUAAACGAUGAGUACUAGCUGUCGGGGGUUACCCCCCUCGGUGGCGCAGCUAACGCCUUAAGUACUCCGCCUGGGAAGUACGCUCGCAAGAGUGAAACUCAAAUGAAUUGGCGGGG
rnacentral:rRNA from 1 species